UACGUAGGGGGCAAGCGUUGUCCGGAUUUAUUGGGCGUAAAGAGCGUGUAGGCGGCCUGAAAGGUCAGCUGUGAAAACUCGGAGGCUCAACCUCGAGACGUCGGUUGAAACCAUCUGGCUAGAGUCCGGAAGAGGAGUGUGGAAUUCCGGGUGGAGCGGUGAAAUGCGUAGAGAUCCGGAGGAACACCGACGGCGUAGGCAGCGCCCGUGGCUGUGAAUAAAGCUGACACUGAAGCACGAAAGCUGGGGAGCAAACAGG
rnacentral:rRNA from 1 species